UUUUUUUAAAUUUUAUAUACAACAUAUCAGGUCAUAGAUCCUAGAGUAGAUUGAGUUGAUGAUUAGAUCAUGUGCAUAUUAGAUUAAUAUGAUUAAUCUAUUUAUUUUUCGUUGUAAUUUAUUCAAAAAAAAUUUGAAAUACAUGUAUAAAAUCGCCUAUGUUUUUUAACAAUGAUGGCUCCACUGAUCUGAUUGAUCAUCUAGAGAGUUACAAGAUUUUUAUGAUGAUCCAAAGGCCGAUCGACACUCUCCUAUGCAUUGGCUUCUAAGUAACC
rnacentral:lncRNA from 1 species